UACUACAGCUGGCGCCCUCAGCAGGGACAUUUUGUUUUGGGACCCCUACGGGAAGAAGCAGUUGCCAACAUACUUACCAUCGUCUGGAACAGACCCCUAAGUGCACUUUCGUCUUACAAGACCCCUCAGUGAUACAGGUCCAGGCUGCCCUACCACCUGUCUCUGAUCAUUGUUGUUCCUGGAGAGUGGAUUCAGGUGAAAAGAACUGUCACCUAGAAAUACCAGUCCUGAGUGGUCCCAACCAUGCCAAGUCCUCCUGAUUUAAGGAAUCAAGGCAUGAGUCCAUGGAAAGUCCCAUCAUUCCCUCUCCAGUGACAAGCUCUGCAGCUGGAUGGCCUGAAAAUGAAAUUUCAACCUGCCUCAUCUGUUGAACUGUUUCCAUCUAAGUAGGAGAAAAAACCUCAAUGGAUUGGACUACCCUGGAAAUCAUGUUCUUGGAACCUGGACUAUGUAUUGCAAUAUUUUUAUUCUGCUACUGUUGUUUCCCUUGUACCUUCUUUGGUAGAAGGAAGGACUAUGGGCUCAAUACUUUAAAGAACAAAAGGGAGUUGUGUUUAUAACAAGACUAUGUAUUUCACUUGUAAAGGGGCAAUAGGGUCAGUUGUUAUGCUCCUGUCAAUACAGUAAAGCUUUACCAAUAACUUCAAAUCUGGACAUAUGGAGGGACAUAUAGACAUUACCUUUUGGGGAAAAAUAACACAAGACUUAUGGACAAGUGCCAGAAUUUUCUUUGCUGCAUGUAAAACUAUUGACUAUAAUCAAGCUAAAUGGACUAAGUGUGGAGACAGGCCUACUCAUUUAACAUCAAAUAUGUUUGUACACCCUAUCCAACCUGGCACAAUCAAAGGAUUCCUGCAACCUGGUGUGCUUUGAGAUAACCAGACCAACAGAUUUCUCAGCAUCAUUUGGACUAGCUACAAAUAUAGGUUCAAGUUGAUUUUCAUGAACUGGAAAUCACAAUUGAAAUUCCCUCAGUAUCAAAGAAUCUUUUUAUUGAUCUGGCCCAAAAGAAUUGUUUCAUUUUUAAAUGUGAAGCUCAAGAGAUUCAAUUGGAGAACAUCACUUCUCAUUUUAAAUUUGACCUGGAAAGAAAAGGACCAACCAAAUGGUCCUUUUCAUUGUGGCCCUAAAUUGCAUUAUUAGGCCCCAGUCCAACAUUACAUAUAAGGAAUAUGUCAAAGAAAUCACUGGCAGAAUGCGAAUGUUGCCUCAUGUCCCUGUCCAAACAUGGACAGGAGCAUUGGAUGUUGGAGGAUGGUGUUCGGGAAUAUCUGAUAUUUGGAAAAGGAUAUUGUUCAUUAUGGUUUUGGUCUUGGGAGGGUUGUUGUUUUUACCAUGCCUUAUCCCGCUUGUUCAGAGAAUUGUUAGAUCCACUAUAUCUGGACUAACUUUUGUUGCCACUCCUAUCUAUAAUGAUAAACCAGCUAAAGAACUGAUUUUAAUACCUUUAUCUUCUGACUACACUCCUCUCUUCAAGAGUCCCUAAGCCUAUUUAGCUUUUAUAUUAAAAAAGGGAGGAUUGAAGGGAUUUUAUUAUGCUUUUGAUUUUAUUAUGCUUAAGCUUGAUAUUAGUAAUGUUGAUAUUAGUAGUGAUACUUUGUAAUCAUUUUAUAUAUAUCUUUGUUUAUGUGCAAGCAGCUUUGUAGGUGUCUUAUAUUGGGAAAUUAGUUAUAUAAAAGCAAAUGUUUCAUGCUCUAGGUACAGGUGAUUGCUUACAUGAAAGGAACAAGGUGAAAUUCAAUGGUUCAGGAAAUAGGGAGGGGGAGCUAGCCUGGAUUGAUGUGUAUGAGUCACCAUCUUGGAAUUUGUUUUUCUGUACCUUUUUACUCCUAGUAUGGAGACUCAAGUCUCUUUGUUCUGAAGGGGUAUAAAAAGUGAAAGAAAUCUUUUCUGUGUGUGCCUUCAUCCCUUUUAAGCAGCCACGAAAGAGGAGGAGUAAACCCAACUCUGUUUUGAUCAAAAUAAAAGUUGUUUGCUUGCUGAAA